rnacentral:rRNA from 1 species
CCUACGGGUGGCAGCAGUGGGGAAUAUUGCACAAUGGGCGAAAGCCUGAUGCAGCAACGCCGCGUGAAGGAAGAAGGCCUUCUGGUCGUUAACUUCUGUCCUUGGGGAAGCAGAACUGACGGUACCCAAGGAGGAAGCCCCGGCUAACUACGUGCCAGCAGCCGCGGUAAUACGUAGGGGGCAAGCGUUAUCCGGAAUUAUUGGGCGUAAAGAGUACGUAGGUGGCAACCUAAGCGCAGGGUUAAAGGCAAUGGCUCAACCAUUGUUCGCCCUGCAAACUGGGGUGCUUGAGUGCAGGAGAGGAAAGCGGAAUGCGUGGUGUAGCGGUGAAAUGCGUAGAUAUUAGGAGGAACACCGGUGGCGAAGGCAGCUUUCUGGACUGUAACUGACGCUGAGGUACGAAAGCGUGGGGAGCAAACAGGAUUAGAUACCCCAGUAGUC